AGACCGAUAGCAAACAAGUACCGUGAGGGAAGAUUGAAAAGAACUUUGAAGAGAGAGUUCAAUAGUACGUGAAACUGUGUGGUGGUAAACGGAGGGGUUCUCGAAGUUUCUGUGGGGAACUCAACCUUGGUGGUUUUCAGCCUUGUCGUCUUUGAUCAGCAAUGACUUUGCGGCUUGUCUUGUUUUCCUCCCGGGUGCAUUUCCCCCGCAGUUUACGACAGGAACCGUUUGGGUCAGACCGAAGGCCUUGGGUGAAGUUGUCGGUUCUGCUGGCAGCCCCGAUCUCCUGGCUCUGACCCAGACGGGUACGUGAGAGGACUCGUAUAGCGAGCAAUGCUCUGUUGCGGUUCUCAUCUCUCUGUCGAGUAGGUCGGCGGCCCCUCCGACCCGUCUUGAAACACGGAC
rnacentral:rRNA from 1 species